UGGCUCGAUACGUUUGCUUCAUGAACUCAGAGGACCAUCACUAGCAGCAGAGACUCUGCUCUCCUCGUUUGGAUUGAUUCUGAUAUAAUAACUGUUGGUUUAUUUAUCGGUGCAGCAGCAGAACAUUUUCCACAGACAGUUUUCCUGCCUGUUGGCUUGUUUUAACCAGUUUUCUGCCUUCGGCUGAUUUUACCAGCAGACACUGAAAGGACUCUGAUACUUCGAGUGAAAGUAGCAGUUCCUCCUGAAGGUCAGAGAUUGCAGCAUCUGAGGGCCUCUUCAAAAGAAGACGUAGUUGAUGAAGGCGUUCUGGAGCAGGACCAGAAAGACCACGACCAAGCAGCCUUGAGAUCUGAGGCAGCGUCUCCCUCAGGUCCCUCUCUAUCUCCCUACACAUCCACCAACCACUGGAACACAUCUCCAAAGUUCUGCUGGACCAGCUCAGCUUCCCCUCAGAAGAAGUGGUGCCACCUGCCAGAUGAAGGAGCCUUUUGAGAGGCAGCUGGCAUCAUGAUUGGACUGUACUUUGGUCUGUUCCAAUCCAGCUUCAGCUCCAGAGACGGCAGGCGGGACGAGUCAACGGAGGCCGGAUGGACGAAGGCAUGAAGCUGAGUACAAUCCAGAAAACAACAGAGGAGGAGUGCAGCAGCCCAGAGCCAGAACAACCAGAGUAGCAUCGUAUGUCUCUUAGAAAACAUCAUAGUAUAGCCUUUGGGAUGAAAAAACGCCAUCAUAUACAUCGUAGAUUGUACAAAUAACAGGUCAAAGGAAAGAGACAUACAUUGUAGAAUUGUAGUAAUUGUGGGCUGACUGAUUUACUGAUUAUCAGUAUUUUAUUUUUUACUGAUUUACGGUAAUAAAUACAUUUAAAAUGA